rnacentral:lncRNA from 1 species
UUUUGAAAACACAUUUAUUGUUAUAAAAUUGUCCAAUGGGGGAAGGGAUAAAUUAGGAGCUUGUAAUUAAAAUAUACACAAUACUACACAUAUAAAAUAAAUAAAUAACAAGGACUUAUCGCACAGCAUAGGAAAAUCUGUAUGGGAAAAGACUGAAAAAGAACAGAUAUGCACAAAUGUAUAACUAAUUUACUUUGCUGUACACUUGAGAUUAACACAACAUUAAGUCAAAAAAAUAAAACAUAAAGGCCAUUUUACAGCUCGUGUUCAUAUCCUAAGGUGGGGUGACUAUGGGUUAGCUCCUCGCUAUCACUUUGCUCACUUUCCUCACCUACAAAAUGGGAAGAAAUAAUAACAAGGACGAUAAUACCUACCUUAUAGAGCUGUUUUGAGGAUUCAAUGAGAUAAUUCAUGUAAUGAGCUACAAACAGUUUAUGUAAGCUUUUAAUAUGUGUACAUGUAAUUUUAUUUUACCUUUGCCGAGACCAGCUCAGCAGGAUGGGGCUGAAGAACAGGUGCUACGGAACUUAAGGAAAAAAAGUUGACAUAAAACAAGACACAGAGACAUUUAUCUUUAGUAAAGGUGGGAACCCGGGGACUCGAGGUCUCAGGGACCAAGAGCCCUGCCUCAAGAAACCACACUGCUUUUAUUGUGCUCCUGAGGAUUAUGUCAAGCGAAAAGGAGGUUGUAGGUGCAGGAUAUAGGGGUUUUUUUUUUAAUUAUUUUAUAAGUUCUUUUGUUAUUUUAAAAGUCACUUAGCUGGUAGAUGGUUAAACUUUAACCCUAAACUUUAGGCAUUUAAGAUCAUUAGCAUUUGAGUUAGCUAUCUAAGCAGAGCAUUUCAGAGAAUCCUCAAGUCAUUUACCAUCACCUUGACGGGACAAAGUAAGGAAGGACAAGAUGGAGUUUUCGGCAAAGAGGCUAAGAAAAUAUUAUAAAAACACGUCUCUCAACAUAUUUUGUUUUAUUUUAUUUUUUGUCUUUUUAGGGCUGUUCCCACGGCAUAUGGAGAUGCAGCCCUAAAAAGCAAAAACAUAAAAAAUAAAAAUAAAUAAAGUCAGAAGAAUAACUUAAACAUACAAGAGCCUGACUUAAAGACAAAGAUGGGGGCCUUUAGGGCUUUUCACACAUUCCCCACCUCCACCUCCUGGCUCAUCACUCACCAUCGCUCGCAUUCUCUCCACCCCAGCUCAACGUUACAGUCCAGGGUUCUCAAACAUGCCUUGCACUUCCCCUAUCUACACCUUCCUUCGAUGUGUUUCUUCUCCUGCAAUACAUUCGCUUCUCCACCUCAACCUGCUAAAAUCCAACCAAUUUUCAUGGUUCAGUUCAAAUCUUUUCAAAAUACCUCCCCCGUGAUGUGCUAUGAUAAUAACCGCUAUGGUUGCACAGCAUCGCCAGAGCAGUCAUAAGAACUCUCUCACUGGGUACGGUCAUAAAAGCCCUCUCAGUUCCCUCUCAGAACAACUCUGUACAUAGGCAAGGAAAGGAAAGGGCCUAUUCCUCCCAUUUUUUCAGCCUGG